UACAGAGGGUGCAAGCGUUGUUCGGAAUCAUUGGGCGUAAAGGGCGUGUAGGCGGUUUGUUAAGUCAUGUGUGAAAUCCCUCGGCUCAACCGGGGAACGACGCAUGAAACUGGCAAGCUAGAGUACCAAAGAGGGGGGUGGAAUUCCUGGUGUAGCGGUGAAAUGCGUAGAUAUCAGGAGGAACACCUGCGGUGUAGACGGCUUACUGGACCAUAACUGACGCUGAGGCACGAAAGCGUGGGUAGCAAACAGG
rnacentral:rRNA from 1 species